UACGUAGGGGGCAAGCGUUAUCCGGAUUUACUGGAUGUAAAGGGGGCGCAGACGGCGAUGCAAGCCAGGAGUGAAAGCCCGGGGCCCAACCCCGGGACUGCUCUUGGAACUGCGUGGCUGGAGUGCAGGAGGGGCAGGCGGAAUUCCUGGUGUAGCGGUGAAAUGCGUAGAUAUCAGGAGGAACACCGGUGGCGAAGGCGGCCUGCCGGACUGCAACUGACGUUGAGGCCCGAAAGCGUGGGGAGCAAGCAGG
rnacentral:rRNA from 1 species